CAUUGUUCUGCAUGCCCCAGGCCAGAGCUGGCUGCACAACGCCGACAUCUGCGCUCGCUCUGUGCGUUCCUCAUACCACGGGGGGAUGGAAACAUCUGGGGGAAGGAUGGAGCGAGCCCUGCAGAAGGAGGAAGGUGAUGUGGAACAGAUGCCGGGAGCCGGCAGAGCCUUUGGAAGGGCUGCGUGCGUGCACGCAUGUGUGCAAGAGCUUCGUGGCUUCUGCUGGGAGAAGGGAGCUGCCCCGCUGCCUGCCACCCAGGGAGCGAGCCGCCCCACUGCGACAGGAGCUGGGCUGCCGUGCCAGGAGGUCACACGUUUCUCAAAGCUGCCGGAAGGCGGACAGCUUUGCAGCCAAGCAGAUGCUGCGUGCGCGGUGCUCACCCGCCCCGGGGAGCUGCGGGAGGGCCCCUCGCAGCCACGCAACCGGCACAGCGCGUGCUUUGGGACACCAAACAGCAAAGCCACAGAGCCUCAGCGUGUUGGGGUUGUGCGUUCAGAGGGAACCUGCACCUUCUGGACUCACCAAACGGCAGCCAAACCUGCGAGCCGAGCGCGGCAGCCCGCCAGCCCCUUGGAUUUGCUCUGUUACAAAUUACACACAGCCCGGGCAGGCAGGGCCUCUGCUCUUUGAAAACCUAUCCCUCGGUGUUUAUUAUAGAAACCAGUUGCCCUAUCUGUUGACAGCCAAAUUGCAAAAGGCCCCGCUGGAACCGCCGCCCCCCGUGCUCCCCUUCUGCCUGGGAUGCCUUUAUCUCAAUGGGCUUUGAGGUGCUGUGCUCGGGGACAGGGCUGCACAGCCACCCCCCGGUGCCACCGAGCACUCUCAGCGUGGAGAAAGCUCACCUGAAUGAUUGCAGUGCCACAAAGAGGACAGAAGGUAAUAAUUAAAUCAGAGAGGCGAUGCGAGGUCCUUUCAUACCCCAGCACGUUUUUCUGUGCCUCCAGGAGCUCCCAUAGGAGGUGGAGGGUUCUGAACUGAGGGUUGUCUCAGGAAAGGUUUCCUUAAAGCACAGCACUGAGCUGCAUGGGUUUGCUGGAGGGAAUGCAGUGUGCCAUGCACUGCAGUGUGCCAUGCAUUACCAUGCGCCAUGCAUUGCUGUGUGUCAUGCACUGCUGUGUGCCAUGCAUUACCAUGUGCCAUGCAUUGCUGUGUGCCAUGCACUGCUGUGUGCCAUGCACCGCCGUGUGCCAUGCAUUGCUAUGUGCCAUGCAUUGCUGUGUGCCAUGCAUUGCCAUGUGCCAUGCAUUGCCGUGCACCGGAGCAAGCCAUGAACCCUGCUUAUCGCUGUGCUGGGCGAGCGGGUCUGUUCCCAGCUCCUGCAGGUGAGUCACUUCCCCUCUAUCUCCUGCAUUUCCCAUGGGUAAAAACGGGCUUGAUAAGCACAGGUGUGUUUGAGGGAUUUAACCCCAGCGUGGCUGCACAGUGCCCUGGGGGCCGGGCUGGGUUCCUCCUCUCUUUUGUCUUCCAGGAUUUCCCUAAGGGGCACAGAACCAGAAUGGCACUGCUGGCUGCGCGGGUCUGCAGUUUGCUUCCUUGCAGCACAGCCCAAGAGCAGAGCAGAGAGCCCCCCAGCAUCCCCAGCACUGCACCCCAUGGGAUACCAGCACACCGCAUCCCCCCCACACCCCCUGCACUGCACUGCCCACCCAGGGACCCUCAGCAAGGGGGGGGGGUUGCAGCCUGGACCGGGCACCAGCAUUUCUUCCCUCUUUUUUUAUUCCACUUUACUUUAUUAUUUUAUUUUUUUGGAGGCUUCGCCGGUGUCUGCCUGCUGACUGAAGCUGUCAUUAUCAGCUCAAUAAAUCUCUGGCGCGGGUUUUAUUGAAUCGCUGCCUGAGGGGGAACAAGCCUGUAAAGGUUGAGGAGAGCAGAGCUUUCCCACGCCUGAGACACGCUGCCGGAGCUCUUGCACACAUUCCGGGCCUGCCAGCACUCCGCAAAUGUUUGGACAGCCUUGAACAAAUAACACACCUUUAAAGAGGCCAGCAUGAAAUUCUUCCUCACCCCUCGGCCGCCCUCCCGCUGCCUCGUGCCCCCCCCCCAGCACCCCGCAGUGCUCCAUGUGUGUGUGCGCGCGGGGUUUAUUUUAGGCUCGUGGCCGUGCUCCAGUUUCGGGGAGGAGGAUGGAGGAUGGGGAUGGGAGGAGGUCUGGCUUUUCCUCCCACAGGUAGGAACCGGCUCCAGGCUGUGAUUUGGGGGAUGCCAAUGCUUUUUUUAUCUGUAUUCUCUCUGUUGCAUCUCAUGCUCUGCUCCGUGCCCCGUGGCACAGCGCAGGGGAUGGAGCCAGGAUUCGCCCCAGCGUGGCGGUGGGGCCGAGGGGAGCCUCAGCAAGGAUUAAUGGAGCAGCCAGCUGCCUGCCUGCUGAGUUCUGGGAAUGUCAAACACUGCAGCCAUCUCAACAGCUCCUAAAAUUCCCCCUGACUCGUUUCCUGUUGCUGCUUUCCCGAUGCUGAAAGGCUCGGGCUCCCGUGGAUUAAAAAAAAAAUAAGAGAAUUGGAGGGGUUCCAGAAUUUAGGUUUCUGCCUCCUCCAUCUUCCCUGUCAACGCGUCGUUAAAUAAGAAGCAGGAACGCUGUAUUCGCCGUGCGCUCCUCACCAAAGGGCUGAGCGAAAAUCCUGCUGGAUGCAGCAGGUGACAGUCGGGUUCCCUGCUCCCAGGGUCUGUCCCCGUGUGCCAUACCCGAGCAGAGGGCGGGAGGAGCUGCACAGACCAUGACUUGGCUCCCUUUGGGGAAGCAGAGGCACACCUGAGGCGGGGAUGCUGCAAGGGGCAGGCAGCAAGCUGCUGCACGCACCCACUGACAACCAGCCGCACCUCGGGCGAGGUCAACAGUGAACGUAGGAUGGGAAGAGCGAAGGUUGAGCAGCACGGCGCAGGGCUGGGUGCAAGGUCCAUUGCCAGCAUGCUCAUAAAGUGUGGAUAAGGGAGUGGUUUCCAGCUGAGAAAACCUCUCACGUUGGUUUAGAGGCCACCCAGGUGUCCCCAGGUUGGAGGGGGCCAUGUGUCACCCGAGGCACGCAGCAAGGAGGAGGCUCUGCUGUGCUUUGGUUCUGCAUUGGAAAGGCUUUGCAGACGCAUUGCUGGGAUGGGGUGGGUGGUCAAUGCUUCCUUCCUCGUGACCACACCCGCACGGAUUUGAGUCACUGUGGGAUGAUGCCAAGCAGAGGUUGGGCUGUGCUCUUCUCUCCCAAAAGCCCUUGGGGGGGUUGGGUGCAUCCCAGGAACCACAGCGGGGUUUGGAGCGUCCCACCACUUGCUGUGGCUUGGCUGGUUUGGCCAAGGUCUCAGCCCGGCUUGCUGGUGCAGCUGCCCCCUAAAAAAAGCACGGGAACCACCAGUUUGCAGCAGGAGGCAGAUCAAACCUCCUGUUUGCUUUCAAGCCUUCAAUUGUCCGUUAGCAAAGUGCACACCACAGAAUGGGUGGCCCCUUUCCUGGAGAAGCUGUGAAAACCUGCUCGGUUCCUGUGCUAGGAAAGCAAACAAACAAACACGACCCGGCGCUGGGUUUCAGCACACCAGAGCAUCUGGAAGCAAACCCCGAGCCCCUGCCUUGCUGAUAAGAGCCAGCUCCAUUGCCCACCGAUGGGAGAACCUGGGGAUGUAAUUAGAGAUGCGAAGCGCUCGAAACAAAGGGCGAAAAGCAAUCAGCGAAAGCCCUCGGAGGAGCGCUUUGCAGAGGUCACAGCGCAUGCAUCCAGGGUGGCUGUGCAGAGGGGCAGAGGGAUUUACGGCGGACCUUGGGAGCAGGAGGCCGUGCUGUCGGAGCCAGUGCCAUCUGAAGGCAGUGCGCGUGGGGAGCUCGUUCCUCCUCACUUAUUUUUAGCACUGAGGUUUAUAUCAGGAAUGACAAAUUUGGCAUCGGCUCUCGGAUGUGGCUGGGAUGGGAGCAGCGUGCAACAGUACAGUCCCAAACACAGCAGGGCUGUCUCUUCCUCUGCUGUCAGGGCUGGGGGCGGUGGGGAGCCCAGCAAAGCCAGCCAGCUCCAGCACACAGCAGCAGGGAGCAUAUGGAAGUGAAGGGAGGCACGUUACACUUGUCCCUGGGCAAAAAAAACCCAACUUGUUUUGUAUCCCUAUUAAAAAGCAAGCUCGUGUCACUGCAAAAUGGAUCAGGUUUUGGGGGGAUUGGGGAAUGCAGUUGUUCUGUUUCUUGCCCCACGCCUGGGCUGUGCUCAGUGCUGAAGCUCCCAUAUCAGAGUGGAGGGCACUGUGUGCUGUGUCCCACAGCUUCCUGGGUUCUCAGAUGGUCUCAGGUCCCUGCAAUGAAUGAGCCUUUGGGAAGACACCAUCCGAAAUGUUGCCUUGGUGCGGGAUGCGUUCCCUUUGCUCCUAGCUGGUCCUCCUGCGUGGGACGCUCCAUGCUCAAGGCAGUGCGCUGGGAUUAGGAUGGGGUGCCCAUGGGAUGAGGCACUGCCCAAACAACAACAAAACCCCAUUGAAGCCAAGCACCGUGCUGGGAGCACGGAGUAACCCACGUGUGUGUGUGUGUGUGUGUGUGGGAAGCUCUGUGCCCGAGGUUAUCCGGCGCUGCGGGGGGGUGGACAUGGGGGCACGCUGUCCUCAG
ensembl:lncRNA